UACGUAGGGUGCAGGCGUUAAUCGGAAUUACUGGGCGUAAAGCGUGCGCAGGCGGUUUGCUAAGACAGGUGUGAAAUCCCCGGGCUUAACCUGGGAACUGCGCUUGUAACUGGCGAGCUAGAGUGUGGCAGAGGGGGGUGGAAUUCCACGUGUAGCAGUGAAAUGCGUAGAGAUGUGGAGGAACACCGAUGGCGAAGGCAGCCCCCUGGGCUAACACUGACGCUCAUGCACGAAAGCGUGGGGAGCAAACAGG
rnacentral:rRNA from 1 species